GCUGGGUGUGGUGGCGGGCACCUGUAAUCCCAGCUACACAGGAGGCUGAGGCAGGAGAAUUGCUUGAACCCAAGAGGCAGGGGUUGCAGUGAGCCAAGAUCGCGCCACUGCACUCCAGCCUGGGUGACAGAGUGAGACUCAGUCUCAA
rnacentral:SRP_RNA from 1 species